rnacentral:lncRNA from 1 species
AGAGACAUACCCUUGAGAUCUCCUCGAGCAGUAUGGUGAUUUGUGGAUUAGACAUCCAUCAUUAGUUAUAAUCAAUUUCUACCCUAGCAUGUCAACUCUAUUUUUGUGCCAUCAUUAAUUUUAACUAUUCAUUUUCCAUCUAACAUUGUCGUUUUGCAUGCCCCUUGUUUGUACUUAUAGUUACCACACUUCACACUUUCACAAUUUUCACUCAUAUCGUACACAAACCUCUCUCUCUCUCU